GAUGAAGAACGCAGCGAAAUGCGAUACGUAAUGUGAAUUGCAGAAUUCAGUGAAUCAUCGAGUCUUUGAACGCACAUUGCGCCCCCUGGUAUUCCGGGGGGCAUGCCUGUCCGAGCGUCAUUGCUGCCCUCAAGCACGGCUUGUGUGUUGGGCCUCCGUCCUCCUCCCGGGGGACGGGCCCGAAAGGCAGCGGCGGCAUCGCGUCCGGUCCUCGAGCGUAUGGGGCUUCGUCACCCGCUCUUGUAGGCCCGGCCGGCGCUUGCCGACACAUCAAUCUUUUUUCCAGGUUGACCCCGGAUCAGGUAGGGAUACCCGCUGAACUUAAGCAUAUCAAUAAGCGGAGGA
rnacentral:misc_RNA from 1 species